CGGGACACGUGGUAUCCUGUCUGAAUAUGGGGGGACCAUCCUCCAAGGCUAAAUACUCCUGACUGACCGAUAGUGAACCAGUACCGUGAGGGAAAGGCGAAAAGAACCCCGGCGAGGGGAGUGAAAAAGAACCUGAAACCGUGUACGUACAAGCAGUGGGAGCACGCUUAGGCGUGUGACUGCGUACCUUUUGUAUAAUGGGUCAGCGACUUAUAUUCUGUAGCAAGGUUAACCGAAUAGGGGAGCCGAAGGGAAACCGAGUCUUAACUGGGCGUUAAGUUGCAGGGUAUAGACCCGAAACCCGGUGAUCUAGCCAUGGGCAGGUUGAAGGUUGGGUAACACUAACUGGAGGACCGAACCGACUAAUGUUGAAAAAUUAGCGGAUGACUUGUGGCUGGGGGUGAAAGGCCAAUCAAACCGGGAGAUAGCUGGUUCUCCCCGAAAGCUAUUUAGGUAGCGCCUCGUGAAUUCAUCUCCGGGGGUAGAGCACUGUUUCGGCAAGGGGGUCAUCCCGACUUACCAACCCGAUGCAAACUGCGAAUACCGGAGAAUGUUAUCACGGGAGACACACGGCGGGUGCUAACGUCCGUCGUGAAGAGGGAAACAACCCAGACCGCCAGCUAAGGUCCCAAAGUCAUGGUUAAGUGGGAAACGAUGUGGGAAGGCCCAGACAGCCAGGAUGUUGGCUUAGAAGCAGCCAUCAUUUAAAGAAAGCGUAAUAGCUCACUGGUCGAGUCGGCCUGCGCGGAAGAUGUAACGGGGCUAAACCAUGCACCGAAGCUGCGGCAGCGACGCUGAUGCGUUGUUGGGUAGGGGAGCGUUCUGUAAGCCUGUGAAGGUGUGCUGUGAGGCAUGCUGGAGGUAUCAGAAGUGCGAAUGCUGACAU
rnacentral:rRNA from 1 species